rnacentral:lncRNA from 1 species
UGUACAGACUGCUGCCACUCCGGCUGGCUAGGUCGCUCUGAACUGUCAGGUGGGACCAGAAAAUGCCCAACUGCAGCUAUGUAUAAUUGUAUUUGAUGCAGCCAGCUGGACCCAGCCCAGAAGCUUCGUGACCCAAGAGGGCUCUAGGAUAAUGCUGCACUGCAGGUCUCCCCACUGCAAUCCAUGGAACUGCUUCGACCCACUUUUCAAGGAAUCCUAUACUCUUGCAUCUUGGAAACACCUUUCUCGACAGAGAAAGUUCACUGCUCCUCCAAGCCCACAGAGCUCCCAGUCCCGAAGCUGUGCUACAGAUGUGCUGCCCACUGUGCCCACUCAGCAGAGAGCCCAUAUCCAGCUCCAUCUGCCAAGCUUGGUCUCCACCCGGUACUAUUCGAAGGUUUUUUCCCAUACCUAGUAAACACACCCCCAAUCCAUUCUUAACAUGCUCUGUAAGGGUUUUUCAGGAAAUUUCAGGUCCAACUCAAAACAACCACAACUGAACACCUUCGCCACCUGCUGGUCAAAAGAGAUUACUGCAUCUGGAGUGGCAGCAGCCUGAUUCAUCUAGCUGAAAACCUCCUGCUAGAUGAAGUAGAAGCUGACUGGUAAAUAUGGCUGAAUAUUUGUUGUUUACCUCAAUUGGUAACAUUUUUGCUUUUUAUGUAAAUUCAAUGUUUGAAGAAGGUGCUAAUCUGCCAAUAAUUGACCCGUAUGCCUUACUAGCUAUUAGGGUGCUAAUGCACUCAUUAUCACUAGCCAGAGGCUAAGGAACAGGGAGGGAUAAAGUUAAUUUCACCACCUGCCUACAGUUCAGACAAGCUUUACGUAAUGAGGUUUUGGAGACCAGACUGACCCAUGAUACGUUUAUUCAGCAUGUAGAACUGAUGCUGGAUGACAGGCUUUGCUCAAUGUCUUAUACGAUACAGGCAGAGCUGUCUGCUAACCAAGUUGAAAUGCAGCAAAUUUAUGAUAAGAUGAACACAGAGAGGUCAGAGGACCAUGAUGAACUAAAUAAUAUAUGU